GUUUGAUCAUGGCUCAGAUUGAACGCUGGCGGCAUGCCUAACACAUGCAAGUCGCACGCGAAAGGGGCAACCCCGAGUAGAGUGGCGGACGGGUGCGUAACGCGUAGGUAAUCUACCUAGAAGACGGGAAUAACCUCGAGAAAUCGGAGCUAAUGCCCGAUGAUAUCCCGAUGCGACAUCGCAUCGGGAUCAAAAGCCGAAAGGUGCUUCUAGAUGAACCUGCGUCCCAUUAGGUAGUUGGUAGGGUAAUGGCCUACCAAGGCAAUGACGGGUAGGGGGCCUGAGAGGGCGAACCCCCACAUGGGGACUGAGAUACGGUCCUGACUCCUACGGGAGGCAGCAGUAGGGAAUCUUCCGCAAUGGACGAAAGUCUGACGGAGCGACAUCGCGUGGAGGACGAAGGCCUUCGGGUUGUAAACUCCUCUUCCAGGGGAAGAAUAAGGGUAAGAGGAAAUGCUUAUCCGAUGACGGUACUCUGGGAAUAAGCCACGGCUAACUCUGUGCCAGCAGCCGCGGUAAGACAGAGGUGGCAAACGUUACCCGGAUUCAUUGGGCGUAAAGGACGUCUAGGCGGUUUGGUGUGUCCUCUGUAAAAGCCCUCUGCUUAACGGGGGGAGGCCAGGGGAAACUACCAGACUAGAGGGUCGGAGAGGGAAGCGGAACUACCAGAGGAGCGGUGAAAUGCGUAGAUACUGGUAGGAACCUCGAUAGCGAAGGCAGCUUCCUGGCCGAUACCUGACGCUAAAGCGUGAAAGCGUGGGGAGCAAACCGGAUUAGAUACCCGGGUAGUCCACGCCCCAAACGAUGUCGAUUAGGUGUUGGCCUCUUUAAUGCUGGGCCAGUGCCGCAGCUUACGCGUUAAAUCGACCGCCUGGGGAGU
rnacentral:rRNA from 1 species